rnacentral:rRNA from 1 species
UACGGAGGGUGCAAGCGUUACCCGGAAUCACUGGGCGUAAAGGGCGUGUAGGCGGUACAUCAAGUCCGGCUUUAAAGACCGAGGCUCAACUUCGGCAGUGGGCUGGAUACUGAUGAACUAGGUGUCUGGAGGGGUAAGCGGAAUUUCUGGUGUAGCGGUGGAAUGCGUAGAUACCAGAAGGAACACCGAUAGCGAAGGCAGCUUACUGGACAGGACAUGACGCUGAGGCGCGAAAGUGUGGGGAGCAAACCGG